UUCAUUUCAUUUCAAAUUUCAAAAAACAACUUCCCUUCGCAGCUUCUCUCUCAUUUCUAAAUUUCUUCAUCUUUCUUCUCAACGGCAACUAUCUCCCUCCUCUUCCCCCCCUCUCCGCCUCCCCUUCUCUCUCGAUCUCUUGUCUCCUUCGUCUUCCUCAGAAUCUUCACUCUUCCUUUCUCUCAAUUUCUAUUCUCUAAAAUGAAGCAUCCACCCAAGAAACCCUAUCUUGCUAAAUACCCAUCUCGCCGAUCCACUGCCAUUUUCUAUUCCAUGCGCUAACGGCGCCGGAAUCAAGGGCGGAAGACCCCUCGGAAGCCUAUGUCGUCUUCCAAAGAAAAUGCUUCACCGUCAGAUCCCAAAUUCCCAACUCCAUGGUUCCCGAUUCCAAACCCUCGCCGACUAAGUUGAAGAGCCUGCUCCAUCUUCUAACCCACUUAAGCGGAAGCUCAGUAUGGAGACCGUUCCUGAGAAUUCCAUCCCUGGGUUGUCUGAUUCUGUUGUUAAGAUUAGAGAAGAUGUAAAAUCUGGUGUAGAAAAUUUAACAGAGGAGUGUGUAUCCACAAUGGCAGCCGUUACUCGGCUUCUAAUGAAGUCGAUUAUGGUGGCUCACUUUGGAAACUUGUUACAUAGCUACUGCCAAAAGCUUUAAAUUGCCUUCCGGAUGCACCUCAAAAUCAGCUUCAUUCUUUGUGUUUUCUAAUUUCUAGCUCACUCAAUUCAGCCAUGGAAGUACGGAGAUAUUCCAAAUUUUAUAAUGCAAAACCUGAUGAAGCCGAUGAUGGUGUUUGCACAAGAGCUUGGAGAUUCUUUUUAUCUUACUUCACAAUUGACGUUCUUUCAGUUCUUCCACUCCCCCAGCCAUGCAGGGUUUACAGAAAGAUUUGAACUUUUCAUUUGUGGUCGUGAGCUGGCCAAUGCAUUUUUCGAAUUGAUCGAUCGUAUUUAUCAGGUAAGAGGUGAUUAUAUCAAUCAUUAAUGUUAGAAGGGUGCACAGAUGAUGAAACUUUUUAGCCAAUUUCAUGGCAUUUGAAAGAGAGAAAGUACAUUAGUAUUGAACUCAAGUUAAACUGGAUAGUCUAUCACCUUUUGGAAGAUAACUUUCCUGUACUUUGUUCCAUCUUGUAUAGACCCUUUCAGUCGAAAGGUUACCAAAGGAAUCGUUUUUGUUAUGUGUUAUGUGCUUAACUCCAUAACAAUGUGCGUCCAAGCUCUACAUGAGCAUUCUAUUUUUCUUGCUUGGUAUACUUGUGCAUUAUUGGUUUAUGUGCCAUGUCAAGAAAUAAUAGUUUCUAUUGGAACGUUUUAGUGUUUCGGUUCCAUGAUAAUUGGAAUGGUUGUAAUGAUCUUUUUCUUUUAAAACAAACAAAAUUGGCACAGAGGAUGAUUAGAAGACCAGAUCAGGCAACACAAUGAGAAGCAUGGCUCAGCUGUUUCUUAUGUAUCUCGUUUCUUAUGUAAUGACUCUUUGGACUUCAAUUGCCAAAAAGAUGAGGAUGAUUCUUAUGAAGUGACACUUGAUGAUGAUUUUCUUACUGCUUUGGAAUAUGGAAUGCCACCAGCUUCUGGACUGGAAUAAAGGAAAAAAUGGAGUAUAAUCGAAUUUGGAACCUUUGCAAGCAAGGGGAAGUUUUCUGUUCCCUAUCUCUUUUUUCGAUCCUUACAAUCUUGCUUAAAAUGCUUUGAAGACAAAUUAAAGUUUUAAGUGGGGGGUAGGGUUGUAGCUUUGCAUGUUCUAUGUCCUUUGGGAAAUUUUCAUUUUGCCAAAAAUGUUCAAAUUUUAAACUUUUUCAAUGUCUUUAUUCUUAAAAUAAAUACUAUGUCUAAUUUGCUUUCUAGUUUAGACAAGCAUGUCUGCCUAACCCUUGAGCAUGGAGCUCGGGUUUGUGAUUGUGUUUGUCAUUUGAAUAUCUUAAAUAUGUUGAAAAUGCAUUCUUUGAUAGCUUAGAAAUGCGUAGAAGACAUGCUAUUCAUUUUCUAAAUAUUGUAAAUACUGUACAUACUUAAUAAUGUGUUGAAAACAUGUGCUGUUGAAAACAUGGCCUAACCAAAACCAGAUCUGCCUAGCCCUUAGAGUCCAGCCGGUUAGGUCAAGUAGAAUGCGUUGAGCUCCCUCAGUAUCAGAGCUUGUGUGGGGAACUCUUCACUUUUGGCCUAACCAAAACCAGACCUUCCUAGCCUUUAAAACCCAACCGGUUAGGUGAAGUAGAAUGCGUUGAGCUCCCUCAGUAUCAGAGCUUGUGUGGGGAACUCUUCACUUUUCGCCUAACCAAAACCAGACCUGCCUAGCCCUUAGAGUCCAGCCAGUUAGGUCAAGUAGAAUGCGUUGAGCUCCCUCAGUAUCAGAGCUUGUGUGGGGAACUCUUCACUUUUGGCCUAACCAAAACCAGACCUGCCUAGCCCUUAGAGUCCAGCCGGUUAGGUCAAGUAGAAUGCGUUGAGCUCCCUCAGUAUCAGAGCUUGUGUGGGGAACUCUUCACUUUUGGCCUAACCAAAACCAGACCUUCCUAGCCUUUAAAACCCAACCAGUUAGGUGAAGUAGAAUGCGUUGAGCUCCCUCAGUAUCAGAGCUUGUGUGGGGAACUCUUCACUUUUCGCCUAACCAAAACCAGACCUACCUAGCCCUUAAAGUCCAGCCGGUUAGGUCAAGUAGAAUGCGUUGAGCUCCCUCAGUAUCAGAGCUUGUGUGGGGAACUCUUCACUUUUGGCCUAACCAAAACCAGACCUGCCUAGCCCUUAGAGUCCAGCCGGUUAGGUCAAGUAGAAUGCGUUGAGCUCCCUCAGUAUCAGAGCUUGUGUGGGGAACUCUUCACUUUUGGCCUAACCAAAACCAGACCUUCCUAGCCUUUAAAACCCAACCGGUUAGGUGAAGUAGAAUGCGUUGAGCUCCCUCAGUAUCAGAGCUUGUGUGGGGAACUCUUCACUUUUCGCCUAACCAAAACCAGACCUGCCUAGCCCUUAGAGUCCAGCCAGUUAGGUCAAGUAGAAUGCGUUGAGCUCCCUCAGUAUCAGAGCUUGUGUGGGGAACUCUUCACUUUUGGCCUAACCAAAACCAGACCUGCCUAGCCCUUAGAGUCCAGCCGGUUAGGUCAAGUAGAAUGCGUUGAGCUCCCUCAGUAUCAGAGCUUGUGUGGGGAACUCUUCACUUUUGGCCUAACCAAAACCAGACCUUCCUAGCCUUUAAAACCCAACCAGUUAGGUGAAGUAGAAUGCGUUGAGCUCCCUCAGUAUCAGAGCUUGUGUGGGGAACUCUUCACUUUUCGCCUAACCAAAACCAGACCUACCUAGCCCUUAAAGUCCAGCCGGUUAGGUCAAGUAGAAUGCGUUGAGCUCCCUCAGUAUCAGAGCUUGUGUGGGGAACUCUUCACUUUUGGCCUAACCAAAACCAAACCUACCUAGCACAUAAAGUCCAGCCGGUUAGGUCAAGUAGAAUGUGUUGAGCUCCCUCAGUAUCAGAGCUUGUGUGGGGAACUCUUCACUUUUGGCCUAACCAAAACCAGACCUUCCUAGCCUUUAAAACCCAACCAGUUAGGUGAAGUAGAAUGCGUUGAGCUCCCUCAGUAUCAGAGCUUGUGUGGGGAACUCUUCACUUUUCGCCUAACCAAAACCAGACCUACCUAGCCCUUAGAGUCCAGCCGGUUAGGUCAAGUAGAAUGCGUUGAGCUCCCUCAGUAUCAGAGCUUGUGUGGGGAACUCUUCACUUUUGGCCUAACCAAAACCAGACCUUCCUAGCCUUUAAAACCCAACCAGUUAGGUGAAGUAGAAUGCGUUGAGCUCCCUCAGUAUCAGAGCUUGUGUGGGGAACUCUUCACUUUUCGCCUAACCAAAACCAGACUUGCCUAGCCCUUAGAGUCCAGCCGGUUAGGUCAAGUAGAAUGCGUUGAGCUCCCUCAGUAUCAGAGCUUGUGUGGGGAACUCUUCACUUUUGGCCUAACCAAAACCAGACCUGCCUAGCCCUUAGAUUCCGGCCUGUUAGGUCAAGUAGAAUGCGUUGAGCUCCCUCAGUAUCAGAGCUUGUGUGGGGAACUCUUCACUCUUGGCCUAACCAAAACCAGACCUACCCAUCCCUUAGAGUCCAACCGGUUAGGUCAAGUAGACACAUACAUAUAUGAGUCUAAAUUCAUACAUAUAUCAAGUAAACUCAAUGUGAAUAUGUGAUUCUAAAUUCAUUUAAUUUCGCUUUCAAAUUUUUAAGAAUGAAGUGACUUAAUUGAAUUCAAUUUUGGUCGUUCCAA